UGAUUGAACUCGUCCGAAACGGCUCCAC
rnacentral:sRNA from 1 species